rnacentral:rRNA from 1 species
UACGUAGGGGGCAAGCGUUGUCCGGAUUUAUUGGGCGUAAAGAGCGUGUAGGCGGCCAGGUAGGUCAGCUGUGAAAACUCGAGGCUCAACCUCGAGACGCCGGUUGAAACCAUCUGGCUAGAGUCCGGAAGAGGAGAGUGGAAUUCCUGGUGUAGCGGUGAAAUGCGCAGAUAUCAGGAAGAACACCCGUGGCUAAGGCGGCUCUCUAGUAUGGUACUGACGCUGAGACGCGAAAGCGUGGGGAGCGAACAGG